rnacentral:rRNA from 1 species
UGGGGAAUAUUGGACAAUGGGCGCAAGCCUGAUCCAGCCAUGCCGCGUGAGUGAUGAAGGCCCUAGGGUUGUAAAGCUCUUUCACCGGUGAAGAUAAUGACGGUAACCGGAGAAGAAGCCCCGGCUAACUUCGUGCCAGCAGCCGCGGUAAUACGAAGGGGGCUAGCGUUGUUCUGAUUUACUGGGCGUAAAGCGCACGUAGGCGGACUAUUAAGUCAGGGGUGAAAUCCCGGGGCUCAACCCCGGAACUGCCUUUGAUACUGGUAGUCUUGAGUUCGAGAGAGGUGAGUGGAAUUCCGAGUGUAGAGGUGAAAUUCGUAGAUAUUCGGAGGAACACCAGUGGCGAAGGCGGCUCACUGGCUCGAUACUGACGCUGAGGUGCGAAAGCGUGGGGAGCAAACAGG